rnacentral:rRNA from 1 species
CCUACGGGAGGCAGCAGUAAGGAAUAUUGGACAAUGGACGAAAGUCUGAUCCAGCCAUGCCGCGUGCAGGAUGAAAGCCCUAUGGGUUGUAAACUGCUUUUAUACAGGAAGAAACACUCCGACGUGUCGGAGCUUGACGGUACUGUAAGAAUAAGGAUCGGCUAACUCCGUGCCAGCAGCCGCGGUAAUACGGAGGAUCCAAGCGUUAUCCGGAAUCAUUGGGUUUAAAGGGUCCGCAGGCGGUCUUUUAAGUCAGAGGUGAAAGCCUACAGCUCAACUGUAGAACGGCCUUUGAUACUGAAAGACUUGAGUUAUUGUGAAGUGGUUAGAAUGUGUGGUGUAGCGGUGAAAUGCAUAGAUAUCACACAGAAUACCGAUUGCGAAGGCAGAUCACUAACAAUAUACUGACGCUCAUGGACGAAAGCGUGGGGAGCGAACAGGAUUAGAUACCCUGGUAGUCCACGCCGUAAACGAUGGAUACUAGCUGUUCGUCUAACAUUGGUUAGAUGAGUGGCUAAGCGAAAGUGAUAAGUAUCCCACCUGGGGAGUACGAUGGCAAG